rnacentral:rRNA from 1 species
GGGUUGUAAACCUCUUUCGAAGCGCAAGUGACGGUACCUGUAGAAGAAGCACCGGCCAACUACGUGCCAGCAGCCGCGGUAAUACGUAGGGUGCGAGCGUUGUCCGGAAUUACUGGGCGUAAAGAGCUUGUAGGCGGUCUGUCGCGUCGAUCGUGAAAACGUGCAGCUCAACUGCGCGCCUGCGGUCGAUACGGGCAGACUAGAGUACUUCAGGGGAGACUGGAAUUCCUGGUGUAGCGGUGAAAUGCGCAGAUAUCAGGAGGAACACCGGUGGCGAAGGCGGGUCUCUGGGAAGUAACUGACGCUGAGAAGCGAAAGCGUGGGUAGCGAACAGGAUUAGAUACCCUGGUAGUCCACGCCGUAAACGGUGGGUACUAGGUGUGGGUUUCCUUCCACGGGAUCCGUGCCGUAGCUAACGCAUUAAGUACCCCGCCUGGGGAGUACGGCCGCAAGGCUAAAACUCAAAGGAAUUGACGGGGGCCCGCACAAGCGGCGGAGCAUGUGGAUUAAUUCGAUGCAACGCGAAGAACCUUACCUGGGUUUGACAUACACCGGAAGCCGUAGAGAUACGGCCCCCCUUGUGGUCGGUG